ensembl:lncRNA
GGAUUCUACUGGGCAGAGUUCAGGGCAGGAGUGUGUAGGUGGGGAUCUGAGGAGCUGCAGCGGGUGGAACAGGAGUUCCGUUUGGUGACUUCCUAAAGUGCCAGAGAUGAAUUAUUCCAGAGAAAAGGCUGAAAUGCAGCUAUGGCGCUCAGCAGCUCUGCACUGCCCCUCCAGCACAGCCGGGCCGCCCUCCUCUGCACAGCUCUGCUCCGGUGUGGGGCACCUCCACCUCCUGGUGCUGCAGUGCCCCAGGGACAUGGCAUCCAACCAUCUCUUUUGCAAUAGAAAGGCUUGUGGCUUAUGUUUCAUCAAGAUGGAGGUCUGUGAUAGGGCACUGCAACCUUCAGUGUGUGAUGGUGCUGCUGCUGUGACCCUGCUGCUUGUUGUGCAAGUCUCUCCUGAUUCAGUCCACACCUGGCUAAGUUUCCUUUGUUUCAGCCAUGCAAAGGCCUUCACAAACAUCUUGGAACUGCUACAUGUUUGGGAGGGGGAAGAACUUCUACCCAAGAAAAAAUGUUAGUCUGCUUCUGCAAAAGUAACGCACUGUGUUGGCUUUUAUAGCAUCACAAAGCACCUCUCUCCAUGAGCUGUGUACAUUCUGUCCCUGAAAGAUUUUAGUGCAACAGUGACCUUAGAGGGCUCUUGAAGAGAGCCCUUUCUGCUUGAAUUGUAUCCUGACGUGUAAUGAAGAGGUUGCCAUGGCAAGUGCGUAUUUUUGAUGGAAUCAGAAAACAAGUGAAUAAACCACAUGCGUCUCUGAUCCAUGACUUACUAUGGCUCAAGGCAGCAGCAGCCGCUUUCCAUCAAUACAUGAUGAAAAUUUUGUCAUUCCUUUUUUUUUAAUGUCUCAGGCUAUGAAGUUUAAGGGGUCAUCUGAACACUGCUUUGCUUCCUUCAUUUCAUAGAUUGAGAAAUGUUUAAUUGCCAUGCAGGAAACCCAACUGCUGCCACCAAAAGCUCUCCCUGUAACCUCCCCAGGUGCACACGGGCAUUAGCACCAGCAGACCCUUCCUAUUACAGUGCUUCUAUUCAUGGGAGGCAUGGGGAAAUCCACAUUGUAUAUGAAAACUGCCUGAGAGCACCUUAUAUUUGGCAC